rnacentral:rRNA from 1 species
AGUGAACGCUGGCGGUAGGCCUAACACAUGCAAGUCGAACGGCAGCACAGUAAGAGCUUGCUCUUACGGGUGGCGAGUGGCGGACGGGUGAGGAAUACAUCGGAAUCUACUUUUUCGUGGGGGAUAACGUAGGGAAACUUACGCUAAUACCGCAUACGACCUACGGGUGAAAGCAGGGGAUCUUCGGACCUUGCGCGAUUGAAUGAGCCGAUGUCGGAUUAGCUAGUUGGCGGGGUAAAGGCCCACCAAGGCGACGAUCCGUAGCUGGUCUGAGAGGAUGAUCAGCCACACUGGAACUGAGACACGGUCCAGACUCCUACGGGAGGCAGCAGUGGGGAAUAUUGGACAAUGGGCGCAAGCCUGAUCCAGCCAUACCGCGUGGGUGAAGAAGGCCUUCGGGUUGUAAAGCCCUUUUGUUGGGAAAGAAAAGCGGCAGGUUAAUACCCCGCUGUUCGGACGGUACCCAAAGAAUAAACACCGGCUAACUUCGU